rnacentral:rRNA from 1 species
AGUGAACGCUGGCGGUAGGCCUAACACAUGCAAGUCGAACGGCAGCACAGUAAGAGCUUGCUCUUACGGGUUGCGAGUGGCGGACGGGUGAGGAAUACAUCGGAAUCUACUUUUUCGUGGGGGAUAACGUAGGGAAACUUACGCUAAUACCGCAUACGACCUACGGGUGAAAGCAGAGGAUCUUCGGACCUUGCGCGAUUGAAUGAGCCGAUGUCGGAUUAGCUAGUUGGCGGGGUAAAUGCCCACCAAGGCGACGAUCCGUAGCUGGUCUGAGAGGAGGAUCAGCCGCACGGGAACUGAGACACGGACCAGACUCCUACGGGAGGCAGCAGUGGGGAAUAUUGGACAAUGGGCGCAAGCCUGAUACAGCCAUACCGCGUGGGAGAAGGAGGCCUUGGGGUUGUAAAGCCCUUUUGUUGGGAAAAAAAAGCAGCAGGUUAAUACCCAGCUGUUCUGACGGUACCCAAAGAAUAAGCACCGGCUAACUUCGUG